UACGUAGGCAGCAAGCGUUGUUCGGAGUUACUGGGCGUAAAGGGUGUGUAGGCGGUUCUUUAAGUUUGGUGUGAAAUCUCCCGGCUCAACCGGGAGGGUGCGCCGAAUACUGAGGGACUCGAGUGCGGGAGAGGAAAGUGGAAUUCCUGGUGUAGCGGUGAAAUGCGUAGAUAUCAGGAGGAACACCGGUGGUGUAGACGGCUUUCUGGACCGUAACUGACGCUGAGACACGAAAGCGUGGGGAGCAAAAGGG
rnacentral:rRNA from 1 species